rnacentral:rRNA from 1 species
UACGAAGGGGGGCUAGCGUUGCUCGGAAUCACUGGGCGUAAAGGGCGCGUAGGCGGCUGUACAAGUCAAAGGUGAAAUCCCUCGGCUCAACUGAGGAACUGCCUUUGAAACUGUACGGCUUGAGGCCGGGAGGGGGGUAGCGGAAUUCCCAAUGUAGCGGUGAAAUGCGUAGAUAUCGGGUAGAACACCAGUGGCGAAGGCGGCUAUCUGGACGGACACUGACGCUGAGACGCGAAAGCGUGGGGAGCAAACAGG